rnacentral:rRNA from 1 species
UACGUAGGGUGCGAGCGUUGUCCGGAAUUACUGGGCGUAAAGAGCUCGUAGGUGGUUUGUCGCGUUGUUCGUGAAAACCUGAGGCUUAACCUCGGGCGUGCGGGCGAUACGGGCAGACUGGAGUACUGCAGGGGAGACUGGAAUUCCUGGUGUAGCGGUGGAAUGCGCAGAUAUCAGGAGGAACACCGGUGGCGAAGGCGGGUCUCUGGGCAGUAACUGACGCUGAGGAGCGAAAGCAUGGGGAGCGAACAGG